CUCUAGGUUCAUUAGCUGGUCUAAUAAUUAAAUUGACCUAAGACAGAUUAACAGGAGAAAAACAAAUUUAAUUAUGUAGGUACAGGAGCCCCACAGAGACAUAAGAUUCCAAGGCAGUCAAGCAAUUGAGGCUUAUAUACAAUCCUGAGCUAAGAAGAAAAGGGUAGGGAUCUGGGGUUUCAAAGAGGAGGGCAACAAUUCACAGGAAGAUGAGAAGAGCAACUGUUCUAUAAACAGAUAUUUGCCAUGCCAUGCAGAUAAGUCUCUCUGACUUACAUCUGAUAAUAGCUCUUUUCCUGGUAUAGGACCCCUACCUAAAUUGUUUUAGGCAGUUAAGGGAGAGGUAAAAAGCUUUUCCUGAGUUUCUGGGUCCUAAUUGCCUUCAAUUCAAAACAAUCGACAUGCCAAAGUAGCCCAUUUUGGGGUGACAUAUUUGUUCCCCCUCACUUUCAUGGGUCAUAUCUUUAGUGUUAUAUCUAAAAAGGCGCGCUUUUUUUUAAUCAAAAUAGUUAUUUUUGUGAGAUAACCAGCCUACCUCUUAAGUAUUCAAACUCUCGUGUAGUCUCCUACCACAUUAUAACAAGAUUGGUCUGUGUGAACAAUAAAAUAUGGCAUAAAUGGUGAUAUGUACUUGUGAGAUUGAAUUAUAAAAGAAGCUCUGGCUUCAACUGGGCCACUCUUUUGGUCUUCAAUAUUUCUGUCUCUGUCUCUCCCUCCCUCUCUGGUGUCCUUUGGGAGAAGCCAGGUGCCAUGUCAAACAGCUCUAUGGAGAGGCCCCAUCCUUUACAAGUGAUUCUCUUGGAGCCUCCCUCAUUUGACAUCAGAGAAGAAAGAGCUGAGAGGGAAGGAGAAGGAAGUCUCCACCUCCAAUCCAUCCCUCCCUCCUCGAUCUCCAAUAACAACCUUCUCUCUCCAAAUCGUUUCUAACCUGGACAGAGGUGGGAGGAAUGAUAUGAAUGGGUCUGCUUCCUCCCAGUAAGCCCUGCAGCGAGGUGUCCAGCUCCAGGUGCUGAAGGAAACUUGAUAGUUACAAUUUUUAAAAUGAGAAGGUGUUUUGCCUUUUGUUUACAGUUGUAUCCUGUAGUCACCAAUGUCAACACUACUCUGUAUCUAAGCUCACCUGUUAAUUAUACUUUCAUUUCCUUCCUUGCAAAAUUUUUUGUUUUUCCUGGAGCUAAUAAUUAUCUUUGUUUUCAUUUGCUUGGUUUUCUUUAAACAUCUAAGUCUUCCUGAAACCUCCAACAGACCUGUCAAAUCCCUCUCAAUACAAUUUUCCUCGCCUUCAAACCUGUCAGAUAGUUUGCUUUUGUCCUGAGAAUUCCCUUUUCUCCCUCUUAAGUAGGAUAACAUACAUGCUGAGUUAAUGCUUUCCUCUUUCUUAGUUUUCCUUUUGUUUGGCGAAGCACAUCCUACUAUAUCUGCUUGCAAAUCAGUUCAUGAGAGGUAAAAUAUUUUGAGAUCUUUCAUGUAUCAGAAUGACUUUAGUCUAGCCACAUGCUCAGUUGAUAAUCUGAUUGGAUAUAGGAUUCUAGGUUGCAAAUUAUUUUUACUCAGAAUUUUUAUGACACUGUUCCACUGUUUUCUGACUUCCAUUGCUGUUCCACUAUCACUCUGAUUCUUCAUUUGUGUGUGUGUGAGGAAGACUGUCCCUGAGCUAACAUCUACUGCCAAUCUUCAUCUCCUUUGUGUGGGGUGCUGCCACAGCAUGGCUUGAUGAGCAGUGCUAGGUCCGUACCUGGGAUAUGAAAUGGCAAACCCCAGGCUGCCAAAGCAGAGCACACGAGCUUAACCACUACGCCACUGGGCUGGCCCUUGAUUCUUAAGUUUUUGCGUAUGACUGUUUGUCUCACUAAAAUCUUCAGUAUCGUUUUUAUCCCUAAAAUUUAAUUAGGUAUACAUUGAUGUGGAUCUUUUUUCCACUUAUUGUAUGGGCGCUCAGGGUUCCAAGAGAGGCCACUGUCCUGGUCCCUGAAAUUUAGAAGGAGCCCUGCACUAAAACGAAGACAUUGAUUUUUCCUUUUACUAUCAUUGGAAAAUAUUUUAGAAGUUCAAGAACUAAAUAAAAUAAGCAGGAAUCAUGGGAGAGAGGCUCAGGCUAACCUGGGGCCUCCAGGCCUGAAGAUGCAGGACUGCGGACACGUGAAGAGAAUAAAUUCACCACUUCUGCCCUGGGGCACCAGAGGAAAAAUGCCUACCUUUCCUUAAACUUAGUCACCUCAGAUCCACCAAAAUCACACGUAGGCAGGCAGGUUCUCCUCCUCCCUACUAAUUGCACUCCCUGCCAGUCGUAUGCUUAGUGGUGUAGUUUCCAGGACUUACUGGAAAUCCUAAAUCAGAAGCUAGAGGCCUGAGGGAGGAAAACUUGCCUAGCAGGUUCCUACAGGAACUUGACCAGGUCAGUCCUGGGCCCAGUCCAGCUUCCAACCUGCUAUUCUAGCAGACAGCCUGCCCCUCCCACCUCUUAGCUUGCAGGGUCCUGGUUGGUGCAGGGGAACACAUGGCUCCUUUAAUCUCUAGGCUUGGCCAAAAGGGCAGUCUCCAAGGAACAGGCUGCAGCACUUGGGUAGAAACGGGACCUGAACCGUGGUUCUAGCUUGGUUAUAACCUGUAAAUAUUUAGAAAUAUAUUAUGCAGACCUCUUCGUAUUCCUGCUCUGGACUCUGUAGGUGUUAAGAGUGGGCCUGCAAAUAAUCACUGGACACUUUCGAUAUGGAGAAGCAUCCUUGAGUUCUGAGAGAUGUACUGGGGUGUUUCAACGAUAAUUUCUUUCCUGAUGUAUUGUCUGUUUUCUUUGGAAUUUGUGUUAGUUGAAUUUUCUUAUUUUUUUCCUCACCUAUUGAUUCACCAUCUCUUUGCCUUUUUGUUCUAUUUUAUGGAGAAGUUUUUUAACUUUAUCUUCAAUAGAACUUAUCACCAACUGAAUUUGCGACUGCCAAUAUUUCUUUUUGUCUUUUGGUUGAUUAUUUAAUAGCAUCCUAUUCUUGCUUCAGGAAUGUAAUAUCUGUUCUGAUCCCUCAGAGUAUAUUAAUUACAGUUUCUUAAAGGUUUCCUCUGCUCCUCAUAUUGUCUAUGUUUCCUCUGAAUUUCCUUUUUGUUCUUUACUCGAGCUGUAUUUGAUGGAGUUUUUUUUCAAAUAUCUGGUGAUCCUUUGCUUUCUGUUCAUAUAUAAGAGUUAGACACUAAGACAAUCAGAAAAUUCCAUCUGCAUUUGCAAGAGUUUUGCGGAAUCACAUGCAAGAGUUUAGCAGAAUCACGUGCCUCACAGUCGGGCGAUUGGGUGACCUGAGAGCUAUCUUGUUGAAGUUCUGUCUCCAGAUGCUGUCCCUGACACAGCUCCAAGUCUUUGGAUGAAUCUUUCUAUCUCCUACUUGGCAAGCUCGAUCUUCACUGCUGGCACGUUGGAGCUGGUCAGGGAAUGAAAGGGAAAUAAGGACACUGGAGGAAGGAAAACAAAAGAGUGUGUCACUAGCAGACAUACCUGAAAAGAACGGCUAAAGGAAGUUCUCUAAACAGAAAGGAAAUGAUAAAAAGCACUUUGAAACAUCAAGAAAGAAGAAAAACAUAGAAAGGGGAAAAUACAGAAAACCUGAUGCCUUUUCUUCAGGUUCUCCCUUAAAAAGAUUCCGUGGCCUGGACUGGAAUCCACAUCUCAGAGAAAAACAGGAAGAAAAGGAAUCUUGGGAAACUCAAGGAAGAGGACUUAUUUACCCUAUGCCUAUUUGGUUACUGAAAAUCCAGACAGACUUGGAAGAUAAACCUCAGAGAGAAGAGAGGUUGUCUUUAACCUCCACCUUAGAUUUUAUAGCUGAUCUCAGCAUCUGGGAAAGCUGUUUAGAAUUCUUUCCCAGUGGAUUAAAACCAGCACUUAAGUGACCAGCCCCAUGGCAUAGUGGUUAAGUUCAGCGUGCCCUGCUUCAGCGACUCAGGUUCACAGUUCCAGAUCCUAGGUACAGACCUACAACACAUGUCAACCAUGCUGUGGCAGUGACCCACAUGCAACAUAGAGGAAGACUGGCAUGAAUGUUAGCUCAGGGCCAAUCUUUCUCCAGCAAAAAAAGAGGGAGAUUGGCAACAGAUGUCAGCUCAGGGCAAAUCUUCCUCAGAAAAAAAAAAAAAACAGCACUGGGAAAAUGAUAUCAAAUCUCUAAUAAGAUAUCAGGGGCAAGACAGAAGAAACUUACAAAAAAGCACUGAGACGGACUCGUCGUUUCCAAAUGAGGUGAUGGGCUCAUCUGCAAUUAAGUAAAGAAAUGGUUUUUAUUCACUUCCAGUAAUGUGUGUCUAGCAUUCACUGUGUGCAUUCAGCCAAUAACCUCAAGUAGCCCUGGUUAACAUAGGACUCCACUGAGUCUGUGGCACUGAAACUUUCCUUCUCCUAACUACCAUGGCACUCUGUCACGCCUGAAAUCUUCCCGGUGGAAAUGGAAUGCAAAUGGACUCCAUGAGAAGGAUUUGGGUGAAGGGCUGGUCUACGCUCAUACUUGGAAGCCCUGAGAGUAGCAUGUGAACCGGUUAUAUCCUCAUGUGUAAGAGCCAUAUUCUCUCUUCUCGCCCAAAAGUAAAUUCAGCUCAGUGAGUGUGGCUCCUGGCUGAGAAGGGUGUAAACACGGGCAGAGUACCUACCAGAGAGCCUCUUCUUGAGUCUGUUCUGGAAAGCUUCCCCAAACAUAUUCCCUAAAGACCAUAAUAGGCAGAAAAGUCAAAGAUCUUUGGACUUACCUGAUGCUACAAGGAUGGGCUCAUCGAAAUAAGCAGCAGUGACAACUUCUAGAAAUAAAGCAGUAAGUUUCUUAAUUUAAAAGGUUAAAACCUCCAUGGAUUUUUCUCUUCCUAUUAAAAACCAAAGUUUCUCAAUAUAUACAUAUUUCAAAUCAUUGUGUUGCACACCUUAAAAUUAUACAAUGUUAUAUGUCAAUUAUACCUCAAUAAAACUGGAAAAAACAAAAAUAAAAUAAAUGCAUUACAGGAAAAAAAACAAUAACAAAGUUUCUUGGUUUGUUGGUAAUCGCCGCAGUCAGAAAGCCUCUCUUGAUAAGCAGGCCAUGGGGUCUAGAUAUUAGCAGAAAUGAUCAGAGGGAUCUGGGCCAUGAGGCUGCUUCUUGCUCUUGGAGUCAAACAUGAGAGUUUUCCUACUGCUCCAUGGGAUAGGGGUGGGGGUGGGUGGGAUGGAGGACAUCAUUCAUUUACGUUAACUUAUUAAUCAACCACUACAGAUUGGCUAGUUAGAAAACAAUCCUGAGGUAGAGUUUUUCAUUUUGCAAAUGAGGUAUAUUCUUUGAGGAAGACAGUUAGUGGAACAGCAAGAAUUUAAAGCCAGAGAACCAACCCUUUUUAAUGGGCCCUCCAGCCUCCACUAAAACACAAUUUCUAGAUUCCUCCACUACUGCCUGCAAUCUCCCAAUACACUUAGAGCAGUGCUGGAAUACAGUAGAUCUCAAUAUGUACUAGCUAUUAUUUGUAGACAUAAGAAUCAAAUUGUUUAGAAAUUUGCUUUUGUAGGUAAGGUCCAAGGCUCUUUCACAUCAAAAGUCCCAGGCACACCUCAAACUGUUGGGGUUUGCUUGUAGGAGUGGAAGACAUUGAAUCUUAUGACCCCUUGGCUAAGUGGUGGACAGAAAAAUGAAAACUGAUGGAGGCUUGAGAGAGAGAGGAGCAGAGAUAGAAACACUGCUUAACUCAUGAAGCUUCUAAGUCUCUUUUUCUUCUGUUCAGUCUAAAUUCACAUAAGAUUUACACUUACCAUAAUCUUUGUUGGCAAAGCUCUCUGGCUGAACUGAAUUGUAGUCAACUGGAAAAGAAAAGGAAAUUGUUAACGUUUUUCUUGCCACCACAUCCAUCAACCCCUUGGAGAUACCAAGGAUCUCGUCCUCUUUAGAGAAGCCCAGAAGGCUGGUCCUGGAGAUCAGUCAGGGCAGAUCUCUGGGCUGGAGCUAUGCUGGUAUUCAACUGGUUUCAUCUCCUGACAAUCUGGGAAAAUGCUUCCAUUUUCCUCAAGUUUCAAAGCUCUUUUGGCCAAGUUUACUCCACCUCAGAGAACAAAGCACCAAAAGUAUCCCCAAAUGUGUAAGUUAUCAUAGGACAUUCCUCUGCAAGGAGCUAUAAACAGGGUAAGGGAGGCAGGGAGGAAUCUUGAAGACAGGGAUUCUUACCUGUGGCCUCAGUGGCUUCUUUCUCAAAGCUGAGGGUGCUUGAUUCCACAGCAGUAGACAAUUCUAGGAAAACAAAAUGGAAGACAGGUGUGGUUACAAGCUUAUGAAAGGAAUCAAGUACACUGGAGGAAAGCAGACUUUCCCUCAGAAAUGCAAAAGAUGGGAGCCCACCAACUCCUGCCCAGGCCCCCUCUGAAGCCAGAAACCUCACUUACCAAAAGCCUGUGUGUUCUUCAAAUACGCUUCAGUAGUCAAUUCUCCACCACGAAAGAACUCUACGUCAGUGGCCGACUCUAGGUCUGUGGUCAACUCUAGGUCAGUGGCCGACUCUAGGUCUGUGGUCGACUCCAGGUCUGUGGUGGACUCUAGGUCAGCGGUUAAAUCUAGUUCCUCACUUGGCUCUAGGUUAAUGACCAGCUCUCCACCAGUGAGCGGCUCUAUGACAACAGCCGGCUCUUCAGGCUCCAGGACAACCACUGGCUCUGGGUCGGCAGAUAGCACCGGGUCAUUGAUAAUGUGUAUGAAUUCUAAAGGAGACAAAAAAGAACAAGACAGCCCAAGCGCUUUCUACCAAGAAUAUUUCCGUGAUCUCCACAUCCUUCCCAUUCCCAGGGGAAAACAUGGAACAUAAAAGAGUAUAUUGAAUCAAAUGUGGUCUCACCACAAGUCUCUCUUCUGCCAGCUGCUAGAAAAUCCAGAAGACUAACUGCCACCCAGGAAUAUGCUCAGUGUCCUCUACACUACCCUCCUUUGAGGGGGUCAGUUUAGGAAAGAGCAUUUGAUAUUGUGCCUCUAAAUAAGAAUUGGUCAGACCGGAACAGAAUAAAAAUUCCAGAGUCCCCAUCUAUACUCUUUCCAGUUCCUGAAAACCAAACAAAAACAAAAGGGAGUGUGGAGCAAGGAAAACAAGUAUUUCCAAAGUGCGUGAGCAAGAAUGGAAUCAACUCUAAAAUGGGCUACUCCUACGAUUUUGUCAUUUAAUGGGCUAUGUCAAGGACUUCAUUUUCCAGCCUCUCCUGUAGAAUGCACAAUGCAGAUGUUUUGGGGCUUGCUAACCACAAAAGCAUCAAAACUGUGUAAGCCUGAUCGACGUACAACUAGGGUCUUCUUGGACGAUAGUGAAAGAUAUGUAGUCACUAUGGCUGCUUGGUUCAGCAGGUUAUGGGCACCCUGCCAGUGAGGCCAAAAUCAUUAGCUCCCUAACUCAGUCACUUUGCUUUAUCACUCAUUCAUAUGCAGUAAAGAACCCCAAACCUAGCACCCGAUAAACAGAGCUACCAGAGGGAAAGCUGGGGGCAGAAAAAUGGGGGGAAGUAACCAUUUUAAUGCAAAUGAAUGAAAAACCUUCCUCCUGAGAAAUGAACUGAAUUCAGGAAGGACUAGAAAAGGCAAGCCUUCCCGGGAAAUCUUCCUUUCUCUGGUUCAUGAGGACAUCUAUUUCUUUCCUGUCUCAAUGUGACUCACAAGUUUCCAUUGCAGACCCACUGAUUUCCUGCGUGUGACUGAGUUAGCCACUAAAGCACUUGGAGUUUUACUAUAAAAUGAGGGCAUACCCUAGGACUUUUUAACCUGAAUUAAAUAGAAUAAAGCCUCUUUAGCCUUCAAUAGGGAAUAGAACCACGGAAAACCGUCAGUAAUUCUCUAAUCACCCACCUUAAGCCCAUCUGGCCCAGCCUUCUUACCUUUAUGAGGUCAAUUCAAACACACAACCCACUUCUUAGCUUAGCCACUUAACUACCCAAGGCCUCAGAGCUCAGCCGCCCAUCCCACCUCCAGCCCAAGUUGAUAUAAAUUUUACCCAUUUCAUUUUAUGAUGUUCACUGCAGGUCUCUGUCUCUGUCUGCCUCUUUCUCCGUACUCAUACACACGGCAGACACCGUGAAAGGAUUUUAGCCCUCUUCUCUAAAGACGUCCAAACAGUCCACUUACCCUGGAAUGCGAUGGGGUAAGUCACAGCCAGACCGAACCAAGCAGAGAGGACCAGGGCCGUCCUGAGCAUGGUGCCAGUGGGGAGUGCAGGAGGCUCUCGAAGGUGUGGAGGCAGGUGGCAGGUCUUAGGGGUGCUGGGCCCAGAGCUUCGCUGGGCUUUUAUGUAACCCUCAGCCCUAGGUCCCUGAAGGCGGCAUUCCCAGGUGGUGGUGAAAAAAAAAAAAAAAAUGCAAGCCUCGCCCACACACAAUGUGAAUGCCCCUGGAGCGAAGAAAAGGAAACGGUGGGGGAGGGAGAAGCAAGGAGGAGCUGGAGGAAAACUCUGAUAAGGUCCUUAACUGCGAAAUUAGGUCGCCUUGCCCCAUUACCAUUAGCAGUAAUUAUGUGCUUCUCAGAGAGGCAGGGGAGAAAUUCCAGUAGGUCGCGGACGACUCCCCUCCUGGCCUAAAGUUGCAAGUUUGUCAUCUAGUUUGAAGCUUUACUGAGCCCCUGAAAUGCUGCUUUGUAUCAGAGUGGUGACUAAGAAUAUUGGUCACAGCUUGCUGGCUACUUUGAUUAUAAGGCAGUCCUAUUAUAAACAAUCUUCUAACACCAGCGGGUCUCUCAAAGAGAAAUUACUACUACAAUAAUAAUAAUAACAGAAAUAGCUAAAAUUUUAAGAUUUCACAUGUGCUACUAUUUUAUUUGAUUCUCACCUGGGUCAUAUGUGGGAGGUAUUAUAAUCCCUAUUUUUCUGGUGAGGAGCCUAGAAGCUGAGAGAUUAAAUGACUCCAGAUUCACCUGCAGAUAUUCACGCUCUAGAGCUGUCAUUAACAGCAAGUACUUGGCCGUGUGGACGUGGCUCCUGCUAGUGACCCUCCCAGGCCUCUAGGGGGCACUGUUAAGCUGCCAUGCAUCGGCUGAAGCACGGACUCUAACCCUCACGGUAGAUGCAAAAUAAGCUGAGACUGCUAGAGUCAGGGACUGACUCACCUAAACCAGUCUCAGCGCUCAAUUACGACCCUUAUCGGAAAGGAGCUGUUUAUCGCUUAACGCACAAGUCCCAUCACAGGCUCAAACUCCCACGAGGCCUUUAAGUCUCAGUUUUCUUUACUUAAAUGGUCACAGCUGAUUCCUGCGCCUCAGAAACCUCAGGGUUGGCAAUACCAUUGAGAGAAAUCUCUCAGUAAUAGUAAUAAUAAGAGCUAAUAUUUAUUAAGUGCUUAACUAUGUGCCAUAGGCAUACAUUAUUUUAUCCUAAUACCAAACCUAAGGUAAUCUUAUUAUUCUCCUUUUCUAAUGAAGAAACCAUGGCACAGGGAGGUUAGGGAAAGGUCACACAGUAAGUGUGAGAGAAUCAAGAAGCAAAUCUUUGGGCACUCUGACGCUAGGGCCUUCGACCACUCUACUAUGUGUGUGCUGUGUCGUCGUCGACCCUUUGUCCAUCGGACCCGUCAUGGUCUGUCCAUCCCCCACACCCCGCUCGGCCCAGUUAUCUCCCUGAUCUCUUCAUUGCUAGCUUUGUCCUGUGAAAUGUGGCACUACACAGGCUUCACCUUAAAGGCAGGGGGAAAACACACAUAUCCAUUAGAGAACGUUUUGUUUUUCUGGAAACUAAAUUUCCUUGGCAAGUCCUGUGCAAUGAAGCGUGACCCAAACACAAUGGUCAGAAGCUUGGGAAGCAAGAAGCUCAUGAAAAACUCUAGGCAAAUAACACCAACAAACAAUAGAAUUCAAAUGAGACAAUAACCCAGUAAAUCACCUGCCAGUGGAAGCAGGGGGAAUUGUGUUUGCAUCAGCCACAAUCUGAGAAUAUUUCCUACUUCAGCAAAGUGGCAGAAUCGACUUCCAACAGUGCAGAAUAGAAUCUCUGAAUUCUCUGAGGAGAGCUGGACUUAGGAGGCAAGGUAUUAAAGGGGCAGAAGUGACCAGCUUCUUCUAGAAGCUUUGUUUUGUAGCUAACCACUUAAAAUUAUAGGCACUGCUUCAGAUGUUCUUCCAAAGGUCAUGGCACCACUUUUAUAUGCCUCAGUUUCCCCCAGAGUCAGUGAACAAGUGGCUGUCUGGUGACUUCUAUAUUGAAAUAUAUGAGCAAUUUGAUUUCCCUUGAAGUCGUGUUACUCUUUCUCACCCCCUGAGUGUUGUGAGGUAAUCGGCACAGUGGGUCCCAGGGAGGGACCAGGCCUCUGCUAAGGUGAGAUCUAAUAGAAUUGUAAGGUUAUAAUUAUAGGGACUUUUUUAUUAAACAGGGUUAUAAUUCUGUUUCAUAUUAUUAAAAUAUUUUGACUUUCUUGCCUUUACAUUUGGCAUGAAAUGUUAUAGAAUCAGGUAAUCUCAAGGCUUCAAGGUAUAUUAAAUUGUAUCCAGCUCAAUCAGACACCCAAUGUGUUUUUUUUAAAUAUAAGAGUAUUUUUUUUUUCAUUAUAUAGCAUGCCUGUCAAGUGGCCGGACAGCCCUAGUGGUAGAGAACUCACUACCUUGAAACGAAUAGUUCAUCCUUGGACAAUUAUUCCUUCCAAGAGCUAAAAUAUGCCUUGUUGUCAUUUCAACUUGUUUGCCUCAGUUUUAUUCUUGGGAGCCACAUCUAUGAAAUUAGGUCCUUCUUCUCUCUUCAGAUGUCAAAAGUAGCUAUUGUUUUACUUUCCAGUUUCUUCACUACCCCAAAAAAAGUGUGAGUUUUUUCCCUAUUUUGUGCUCUCAAAUUUCUCCAGCACCAAACACGGCGUCUGUUACACUGGCAGUAAUGAAAAUGUUGAUAAAUAAAUUAAUGACUAGAUGACUCCUGGUCGUUAGUCUCUGAUCUCAUUUGUCUACGGUCUUCUAAAAAGGAAACACCAGAAUUAAAGGAAAUUAUCACAGAUUUGAUCUGAUUAGAGCAGGAAAAAAUAAAACUAUGACCAUCCUUCCUUCUGGAAAAUAUGUGGUAUUAAUUUGAUUGUAUUAAAUUGAUUUGUACAUUACAUGCUAAGAAGUAGGCCUGGCAGAAAAUAUGGAAAGUUUCCCCCGGACAUUAAAGGAACUCAAAAGCCUUUGCAUCUACUCUUUUCAGACCGAGAUCAGUUUCUGGCGAGUGGGUUGAGCUGGAAGUGAUAUCCUGCAGGAUAUAUCUCUAUCCUUCCCUGAUUCCCACCUCAACAGACACAAGCUCUGAAGCACCUGCAUGGAACCAGGCAUUUGACCCAGGGCAAGAUGCCUCUGUGAUUUCAAACCCCAAUGAUCAUUCUCCCCUCAGGAAGCAGUUGCCAGAGACUAAGACUCAAGUUUCUCCCCUGGGGAACAAGGAGCCCAGAAGGGGAUAAAGAUAUUGUGACUUGGGCCAUCUGACCUCACAGAUUAGAUAUGGAUAAGGAUUAGCCCGGUCUUCUAAGGUCAGAUCAAGCAUUUUUCCAGCAUCUGUUCAGUGACCCAACAAUUACACUAAGUACUUUGGGCAAUUCAAAAAAAGCCCCAAAGUGGAUUCCUUCUUUAAAGUUAUAACCAUGAAGCCAACAGAUGUAUAUUACAAAGGCAGUUUAUAAUAAGAUACUAAGAAAUCUAAUACAGGGCCAGGGAUACAAAGAAAAAGCUCGUAUCUAACAAAUGUUUACAGAGUCACUGUGAAAUGUAAUGACUGGAGCAGAAGAGGCAAAGAGGUCAAAAUCACAGACUCUGGAGUCCACCAGCCUGAGUGUAAAUCCUGGCUCUGCCAGUAAUAAUUAGGCAAGCCUGGGAAAGUUGCUUAACUUACAGUAUUUCAGUUUUCUCUUCUAAGUAACGGAGAUAAAAGCAGUUUUUACUUCAUUGCAUUGCUGUAAGGAUUAAAUUAAUGUAUUCAUGUAAAGUGCCUGGAAUAAGAAAAGUAAAUAAUAAAAAUUAGCUACUACUAUUAGGUGCUGAAGAUGAAAAAGGCCCGGGUCCCCAGUGAGUUGAUAAUAUUGUUUUACAGUGGGAACAUAAAGGAGCAUUGCACUGCAAAGCUCCUUGGGGAAGAUGGAACAAGUUGAAGUAAGAGUGGGAUUUAUUUGAAUUCAAUAAACAUCUCUCUGGAUUUAUGGAGGGACAGAAAGUAAACAGAAAGGCCUCUAGGCAAAAGGAAGUAUCAGUGUAUUGAAAGAUUCAAAAAUGUCCAUUAAUAGAAUGUCCAAGGUGUCAUGUCAUGUCAACUAUAAUAAAUUUGAAAACAUAGAGGAAGAACAUAUUAAUUCCUAGGCUGUGAAGCGCUGAGGCUGGAGCCAUCGUAAUCAACUGUGCUUUGCCCACUCCUACAGAGUCUGUUAUAGUGCUUUACACAGGGCAGUUGCCAAAUAAAUGAUGAUUCAUUUGUACUGAAUUCUAACAAGGGGUUGGUGGGAAACCAUCAUCAAAUCCAUUGUUUGAGCAGUAGAAUAGUAUCUAAAACCUUGGGUUCUGGACUUAAGAGAGUCUAGUCAUGAGUCCAGGUCCUUGUGAGAACUUGGGCUUGCCCAGUUCACUCUAUCCUUCAGUUUUCCUUGUCUGCAAAAUACAGGUGAUAAUAGUUAUCAUUUCACAGGGUCUUUGGGAGAAUUAUAUGAACGAAUCUCUGUAAACUGAUAACUGGCAUAUACAUAGUAAACAAUCAAUGAUUAGCAACUAUCAUUAUUAUAGCUUGAAAUGGACCCUGAAGAAUGAAUUAAAACUGUAAGAUUAACUAUUCUCAUUACAGAGAAGUUUCUGAUUGGAGAAUAUAGUGAGAGGGUGAGGGAAAGGGGGUAGCAGGAGAGGAGGUGGUGAGAGAGAGUCUGAAAUAACAUUUGGAACCAGACCAAGGAGAACUUCAAAAACUAAAGAUUUGAGUCAUUAUUCUGCCAGCAAAAUGGAGUCUUUGAGGUUGUUGAAUCAAAGAUUGUUGUAAUAAGAUUCACCGAACCUGCACAAAUAGAAAGCAGGUCAGCUGUGACACUGCACAGGCAAGAGCUACUGCAGGUUAGGCUGACAUUACGAAGGUGAGAUUAAAGGGACUAGGUGGCUGACUGAAUGUAGUGCAAGGCACCCCCACCAAGAGAUAUGUAUAGGCUCCCAAGAGUUGCUUUUCUAGCCUUUUACUUCCUCUAGGACUUGAAUUCCCAGAGUCAAAACCCCUAUGCUAAAAAACAAAAAGGAGACAGAAGAGGAGAAUGAAAAGAAUGAUGAUUCCUGAGAUUUGACUGAGAGUCUUGCCUGGUGGUGAAUGAGCAAGGAAGGAAACACACUAUGGGACACCAAAAGUGGAUUUCACUGGGUUUGAAUAUAGUUUUAAGGCCCAUGUUUUCUUUGGCACUAGUACAUAUCUUCAUGGGAAAUUUUGAGACUGACAACAAUGUCUCUGUCUGUGAACUAUUUUGCCUCAAGAUCAGUCCCUUUUAAGUCAUUGGGACAGGGUGGGAUGUUCCAGCAGCUAACUGAUAAGAAAAAAAAUAGUUAUAACAAUGAGAUACCAUCCCAUAUUCAUUAGGAGGACCGCUAUUAAAAAAAAAGAAAAAGAAAACAGUGGGCUGGCCCCGGUGGCUGAGUGGUUAAGUUCACGCGCUCCACUGCAGGCGGCCCAGUGUUUCGUUGGUUCGAAUCCUGGGCGUGGACAUGGCACUGCUCAUCAAACCACACUGAGGUAGUGUCCCACAUGCCACAACUAGAAGGACCCACAACAAAGAAUAUACAACUAUGUACCGGGGGGCUUUGGGGAGAAAAAGGAAAAAAUAAAAUCUUUAAAAGAAAAAAAAAGAAAACAGAAAAUAAUGAAUCUUGGCAAGGAUAUGGAGAAAUUAGAACUCUUAUGCACUGUUGUGGGAAUGUAAAUGGUGCAACCACUGUGGAAAACGACAUGGAGGUUCCUCAAAAAGUGAAAAAUAGAAUUAUCAUACAAUCCAGCAAUCACACUUCUGGGUGUAUAUCCAAAAGAAUUCAAAGCAGGAUCUCAAAGAGAUAUUUGCACAUUCGUAUUCACUGUAGCAUUAUUCACAAUAGGUAAGAGAUGGAAGCAACCCAGAUGUCCAUCAACAGAUGAAUGGAUAAAGAAAAUGUGGUAUAUGCAUACAAUGAAAUAUUAUUCAGCCUUUAAAAAGGAAGGAAAUUUUGUCACAUGCUAUGAAUGAGGUCGUAUGGAUGAACAAGCAAGGUCAUAUGAUGAAUGUUGAAACAUUAUGCCAAGUGAUAUAAGCCAAUCACAAAAAGACCCACUUAUACAGGUAUCUAAAGUAGUCAAACUCAUAGAAUCAGAAAGUAGAAUGGGGGUUGCUAGGGUCUGGGAAGAGGGAGAAAUGGAAGUUGUUGUUCAAUGGAUAUAGAGUUUUAGUUUUGCAACAUAAAAUACCUCUAGAGAUCUGUUGCACAACAAUGUGAAUAUACCUAACACUACUGAACUAUACAUUUAAAAAUGGUUCAGUGGCAAAUUUUAUGUUAUGACUUUUUACCACAACUAAAAAUUUUAAAAAUAAUUAUAAUGGUUAAUAAUGACUAAAUGAUGAUUACUAUGUGCCAAACACAAUGGUAAGUAUUUUACAAAUUCUAAGUACUUUACUCAUUUUGAUCCUCAUAACAAUUCUAAAAGGCAUGUAAAUUAUUAUCACUGCAGAUGAGGGAACUGAGGCACAAAGAAUUUAAGUAAUUUGCCCAAAGUUACAGAGUUAAUAACAGGUAGAGACAGAAUUCAGUCCAGGCAGAAAGGCUCAAAGUCAAUUCCCAUCAUUUAUACAGAUUCACCUCUACUCAUCAUCUUGGUGUCAAGGGCAAUUAUUCUGAUAGUUCAGGAUUAAUUCCUUCCUUUUGUCUCUGCCUCAACUAUAUUGACAGUUCAGAGGACAGGGACACAGACUUAUACAACUUUAUGACAUGUUUUCUAACAACACCUAAGUAGGUGCCUUGCCCAUUAUUGUUGAACCAAAUUAGCUCGUGCAUUUUAAACCAUCCCUUAACCACCCUAACACUCACUAAGUAAAGCUGAAAGGAGGUUAAAGGAUGGAUAGGAAAUGGAAAUCCCCAUUACUGUAUUUGGUAAAUCCCCAAGGCAAUCAAAACAAAGUCACAAAAUCUUUUUUUUUUUUUAAGAUUUUUUUUUAUUAUUUCCUUUUUCUCCCCAAAGCCCCCUGGUACAUAGUUGUAUAUUCUUCGUUGUGGGUCCUUCUGCUUGUGGUAUGCGGGACGCUGCCCCAGCGUGGCUCGAUGAGCAGUGUCAUGUCCGUGCCCAGGAUUCGAACUGACGAAACACUGGGCCACCUGCAGCGGAGCGCGCGAACUUAACCACCCGGCCACGGGGCCAGCUCCCACAAAAUCUUUUGUAUACCAUUUUUUUUUUCUCUCUUGAUCACUGAGUUUCCUCCAGCAAUAUUGCCUCGUACCCUUUUCUUUAAAAAAAUAUAUUAAGAGAAUCUCUCUUAAGAACAGGAGUACCGUUGUUCUGUUAGGAAGAGCCCGAAAUUGUGGCUCCUCCCAACAGUGCUACAGUCUCAUUGACCACCUGGCCUGUCCCCUACUCUUUCCUUAGAGAAUCAUACCACCACCAUUCCACCAUGAUUACAUUACCCAAACAAUUUUGUUGAACCAAUGUUUAGUUGAAUGAAUAUGAAGUGCCUGAAAGUGUGCUGGGGAUGCAGAGUUGAAUGGACCCUGCCUCCAAGAAUCACACCAUCUAGUAGCGGAGGUAGAAAGGUUACAGAAUAUAAUCUUAGGAGAAAUUAAUUCUUAGCACCAGUUCUAACCAUUUGAGCAAACAUUCUGGCUAAGAACCCAACCUCCCCGCUCCUGGAAUUCAUUCAUUAAAGGCACAUUUAUGGAUCAGCUCUUUUGUGAAAAAUUCUUUACUAUCCCAAUAUCUCAAAGCUAUGAAAAAAAUAAAUGAAUUAUAAGAUGUAAUAUGACCAGAGCCCUAAGAUAAGUACAAGGUUUGUAGUGAUCCAGAAGGGAUAGAGAUUAUAUUCAACUAAUGGUGGUCCAUUAAGUCAACAGUUGUUGAACAACACAAUGAAUCAGAAACUAUGCUGGACUCUAGCUACACAAAGACAAACAAGUUACAUCUCUGAGUCUAAAGGUAUUUCUGGUUAAUAGAAGUUCAAGAGAGCCUUCAUAAAGGAUGUAGCAUUUUAAUCAGACUCUAUAAGAUGGGUAAGAUUUCAUCAGGGGAAAACGAUGGAUAAAACGGAGGGUUUUCAGGAAGAAGACAUAGUCCAAGUAAACACACAGAGACACAGAGAUAGGAGAGUGGAGGACACGUUCAGAAAACAUCAAGUAGUCUAAUUUGUCUUAAAGGUAUGGUCCAGAGAAUGUGGAAAUUUGAGGCCAGGUAAUGAAACACUUAACUUAGAAUGGUAGACAAAAGAGAUUUGAGGGGCUGGCCCUGUGGCUGAGUGGUUAAGUUCGCACGCUCCGAGGCAGGCUGCCCAGUGUUUCGUUGGUUCGAAUCCUGGGCGCGGACAUGGCACUGCUCGUCAAACCACGCUGAGGCAGCGUCCCAUACGCCACAACUAGAAGGACGCACAACGAAGAAUAUACAACUAUGUACUGGGGGGCUUUGGGGAGAAAAAGGAAAAAAUAAAAUCUAAAAAAUAAAUAAAAAAUAAAGCGUCAAACUACAUAUGUUCUAAAAAAAAAAUCCUUUCCUCUAUUUAAAAAAAAAAAAAGAGAUUUGACUCAUUGGUAGAUAAUGGCAUGUUAUCUAAGGUUUUUUAGUAGCUUAAACUGAUCCAAUUCAUAUUGCAUGAAGACAGACAGUAAAAAGAAUAUAAAGGAAAGAAGAGAAGAGGAUCAUCACAGCAGCACAAGCAAGACAUUGAGUAGCAAGUUUACCAUGAAGGUAGUAAGCAAUACGAUCAGCAAUUUAUGUUUACAUGUUUGAUAUGAGAAGCGAGUGUCCAGAGAAAGGAAAAGGACUCCAGGUUGUAAAGCACAAAUUAUUCCAAUGACAUACACAAGGGUUCAAACCAGGAGCAAGUUUCUGAAUGGUAUUGGGAGGAGUAGAAGGUUGGUGAGGAGUGGAUUUGCAGGAGUGGGCAAGAUGAGUUUGGCUAGUGGAAUUUAGGUGCUUUAAGAGAAUCUUGAGCCUUGUGGGCAAAACUCCUAUUAAGCCAUUAGUCUCUAAAUUCCAGAUGGUAUAUGAAAAUUAGGAGACAAUUUUGAGGAAGGAAAGGGCUUGCUGGCAAUACUCCUGUUAAGAGAACCUUGAUAGAACUAUCCUACAGGCAGUAAAAAACAUGAGGCUGAAGCCCAUGAGGUUCUGGUUUAUGAUCAUGAUUUUGCUUUAUGCAUUGAGAUGUGUGAUUCAUUUCCCUCAAAGUGAUGACCAUGACCAAACAAUGGAUACGAUUCCAAGACAGAUGCAAAAAGCCAGGAGGACUAGGCAGAAGCUUGGUCUAGGGAAAUGCUUUCCUUUAGGAAGAUGGAGGAAAAGUCAGCAUAGGAAACGGAAGUUAGAGAAGUAGGAAAACCAGAAUGUUAGAUGGACACAGAAAACAAGAAGGAGAGAAUUUCAAGGAGAUGGUAAACAGCAUCAGGUACAGCCAAGAGAGAUCAAGAAUAAAGGAAAAUAGGGGAGGAAGUAAGCAGAGGGGCAAAGAGAUCCACAGAAAAAGCGAGGUGUUUUUUUUUUUUUUUGGAGGGGGUAGUUAUUUCAGUUUUUAGGUAAGGAGUAUUAAAAACAAGAAAGCAGACUCAAAAUGGAAUUGCUUAUGCUAAGCCCCAAGUCAACACCCUGAAAUUUAACUUAAUUACAGGUUCAGCUAUCCCAGAAAUGGAAUCUUAAACCAGUCAAUCAGGAAUCUCCUGAUCAGCACUGGUUAUCUUCCUAAUAGACCUCUCCCAUCCCCUAAAGGAAAAUGACCUUGCAAAGACCAACCUGCCUUUUCAUUUAGUAUAACUUCCUUGUUCUCACCCCCUUCUGCCUAUAAAAUUCUUCCAUUUUGUAUGGCCCCUCAGAGCUUCUUUUUGUCAACUGGAUUGAAUGCUGCCUGAUUCAUGAAUCUUUGAAUAAAGCCAAUAAGACCUUAAAAAUUUACUCAGUUGAACUUUGUUUUGUAACAGUUGACAAGGGCAUAGUUUAGGCAGAGGAAAAGGAGACAAAAGGGAGUAAGAGAAUGAAAGUGUCAGAUGGUAAAAGUGUUGGCAUAAAUGACAGCAAAGAGUAGCAAAAAAUAUGUUUGAUUCCCUAUUUACACUUCUGUUUUCUCCCACCAAAGUAAGCACCUUUUAGGAAAGGACCAAGAGUUGUUUGUGUUUGUACCCCAGACAGAGAUUGCUUUUUCUCCCUCGUACCCAUUCUCCUCUUCUCUCCCACAGUAAUAGCAUCCCUGAUUCUUAGCUGGCACAGGAUGGCACAAUAUGAAGACUGCAUUUCCCAGAGGAUAUAAGCAGAAGGAAUGUGUUGCUGCCUCUAUAAACACAUAUUGAGUACUGAACAAAGAAAUAGAAAUUCAAGUUGGUAAGUGACUUGCUCAAGGUCACAGCUAGUUAGUACAAUACUAAGAGGUAGACCAAGACCUCUAGAAUUCUUUUCACAUUGAAUCAUGCGGGACUGAAUGGACAAUGACUUCUGAAGAGCCUCAGUCAGCUCAUCCAGAAUAAGUCUUCUCUGGAAAUACUAGGAUGCAUCCAAUUACUCAUCCUUUCUUUUUGAAACCCAAAACGUCUCAUGAUUGGCAUUUUUUUUCACCAUCACUUAUGGAGAAAUACAUACAAGCACAUUUUCCUAACGUAUUUUAUACCUACAGCAGGAAAUAAUGAAAAGUAAGAAAAAUUCUAAUUCAUUUCCAAGUAAUUGAGAUCAAUACAUUCUCCACUUAUUCCACUCUUUACUUCCAUGAAGAACAGCCCACCCACAUAAAAGCAAACACUUUGUUCAUGUUCAAGCUCUAUGUCUAGCUGGGAAGUCCUACUGCGAGCACGUAAGCUUGCAAGUUCUCUUGCUUAAGGCACAGAAAAAUACUUGAUGGUUUAAGCCAUCAAAUAUUUUUUAAGAACUACAAGAAUCCACUAAAGAUUAGUCAUGGAAAAGUUUCUGGAAGUAGAGGUAGACCAGUAUUUUGCCUUCAAGGGCUUUGUGAUUUGACUAAGGUGCCUCAUCCAAGUGGCCUUGUGUGGGCAGUUACCCAGCAUCAAUGGUAGAGAAAAUUUGAUGUAUUUCCUUCAAGCUUCCAUGGGCAGCAAGGAGCCCCAGUGUGCCCAGCAAAGUCAAUCCCUUUCUCUAUGUCCCCAGCCACAUUCUUCAUAUAGCAGAAGAUCAAUAAAAUAAAUACUCAUUGAAUAAUUAAGCCAAUAGAUGAAGAAAUUUAUGUUUUCAAGCCAACUUUUUAGAUAUUGUCUGUUCUUAAUUAAUCCAGUAAUGGAUGCCUCAAAACAAAAACGUUGUGUGUAACACAAGCCCAAAGAUUCCGGAAGUCAGGAAAAAGAGCCCAGGAAAUUCCGGAAGGUAUUCUGCUUUUCCAUGCAAGCAAAUAAAGAUAGGUGAUAGGGAUGGGGAUGAGCAGCCUGGAAUAGAAUAGAAUUAUAAAGUCACAACUCAAGCAGCAUUUUAAGUGAAACCAGCAGGAAUUUUGCUCUCCCAUGCUUUUACAUUUAACUAGUUUAUGUUUAACUAGUUAGGGAAAUUUAAUGGAAACUGUGGUGGUAUGUGUGCCUGGGAACUCUGGCUAGUGACCCAAUAUCCUAGAGGGUUGUUUAUAGAGAUUGUUGUGUUUUGACCCUAGAAAAGCUAAAGGAAAGCUGAGGCUCUCACCUUUUGAUUAGGACAGGCACUAAUCUGAGCAGGGAGAAUGUCUGUUCAGGCUCCCCAAAUGCAAUAUGCAUAGAAAUCAAAAAACUAGUCCCCCAGUUUCUGAACUGUGAAUCAGCGUUGUAAAAGAAUACCAAUAAUUCCCUGCAUUGAUACAGAAUCUGGCAAGUGACAGAACAGUGCCCAAGCAUUGUCUUUAGUUGAGUCUCACAACAGCCCUGUGGGUUGGGUGUUAAUCCAAUUUGAUUGAAUAUCUUCAGGACUUGAUAGUGAAGUGAGAAAAAUGGGUUAAUCCAUGCUUCCCUUUAAGAAACAGAUACUACCUCCUUUGUCUCAAUUGAUGCUACAUUCAUGCCCUUAAAAAAAUGAAACAUUUUUUUUCAUGCCCAAAACAAAAAAGAAAACCAGAGAGUCAGAAAGGAAAGUUCCUGCUGUCCUGACGAAAACAGCUACCCAGGGCACCCAACCUUACUUUUCAUGUUUACUAUGUGAAACCAAACACCCUUCAUGGUCGUGUCUCCAUCUGUAAAACCUCACAGACCCAUAGAGUUUUAGGAUAGAAAUAAACUUAGAGAAUAAAUGGCCCAAUACCUUCAUUUUAAUGGGAAGGAAAGGGAGGUUCAGAAAGAUUAGGUAACAUUGUCUGAGUUCCAAUCCCAACACUGCCUCUUAGCAAAUUCCUUAACAUCUCUAUGCCUCAGUUUUCCCGUAAGUAAUACGGGAAUAAGGAUACCUUACCUCAUAGGAUUGUGGCGAAGAUUUAGAAUAGUGCUUGCCCUCAGUAAGGACUCAAUAAAUAGCCAAUACUACAAUCAACAUCACCUACUAAGCACACAUAGAAGAGUUGGGACUAAAAUCUGACUCUAAAUCCAGUGCUCUUUCCACCACAGGACAUUAUCAAUUUCUAUGGGAGGAGCUCUUUUGCUCUCUUUGAGAUGCCAAAGGCAUUAAAAGUAAAUUCUUGUUUUCCACUUCUAAAUGCAUAGUAGAAACUGGAUUCAGAGAAGCCCUGAGGCAAUGGGUGCCUAAGAAAUGUGCUAUCAGGAAGACAUCCAUCUUCAUCCUACAGAAAGUCACAAUUAGUUGAUCUGGAAUCUUUAUUAGUCAUGGAGUUUCAGACAUAGAAGCUACAAAAAAAAAAUAUGGUAAUUUCAGUGAUGGGAUCAAAGAAUACAUAAUUCUCCCUCCUCAUUUCUAGUGGUUGAUUUCCCAAUGUCCUUUAUGUGAAAAAGGAGUAGGAGGGAGUAUAAAAAAUCAGAAAGUCUGACAUUUGAGUUAUUGCAGACAAAGAAAAAUAAACUUGUAUAAAAGUUAGAGGGAAGGGAGGGAAGUAUAGGCAGAGGACAGAGGAUUUUUAGGGUCGUGAAACUACUCUGUAUGAUACUGUAAUGGAAGCUACAUUAUACAUUAUACAUUUGUCCAAAUCCAUAGAACAUGUAACACCAAGAGUGAACCCUAAUGUAGACGAUGGACGAUGAUGGUCAGUACAGGUUCAUCAAUUGUAACAAACGUAUCACUCUGGUGAGGUGUUGAUAAUUGGCUAAUUCCAUCCCAAGGCUAACUGUUCCUGCAAUAAUAUAUAUAACAAGAUACAGUUGUUUCACUUUAAGACAGCCAGAGGAAAUAGACCUAAUACUAGAGACAGUCUCAUCGGAAGAGAAGCCAGUCAUGGCAUUCCAGAAAUACUCUGCUACAGAAGCACGUGGGAUAGAAUCACAGAAUAUUAGACUAUAAGAAUCUAGAGAAGCAAGUCCUAUCUAAAUCUUCUUUGUGUUCCCCAGAGCCUAGCCAUAGGCCUGGAAGAGAGUAGGUUCUCAAAGCUUGAUAAAGAGCAAGAUACUCUCUGGGAUAAAACACUCAUGAGAUUAACGCUGAUGUGAUCUUAAGACCCUAUUUGUCUACCGUGGUCUUGGGGUCCCCUGUGACUAGAUGGCCCAAGAGAAUGAAAUCAGAUUCUAGAGCCUGCUGACCACAUCCCCUCUCCCACAAGUCCCAGUCACCCGACCUGCCCCAGGAAGUGUGGUGCCUUCAUUUACACAGUGCUGGCAUAGUAGCCUUUCCCCAGAUCAUGCCUGUGGGACACCAAGAGAAAGCAGGAUAAAUCUUAAAUUUUCCGGCUAUCCCCAGAUCAGGAAAAGCCUUGAUUGGGAGCAUAGUGUCAACAGAGUCAGAGUCCCAAGGGGAUAAUGAUGCUGCUGUAAUCCCACUAAAGGCCAUAAAGGGAGUCUUAAAAGAAAAAUCUUACUGGAAGUAAAGGGAGAGUCCCAGACUCUUCAAACAAUAUUCAAAAGAGGAAUUACCUUGCCAGUUUUCUUCCUGUUAUAUUUUUCACAUUCUUUGUCCAUUGGAUUCCCAAAUAGGCUGCUGGUCUACUGCCAGUUAUAAUCAGAAUUGCCUUCCCAACUGUACUGGGGUGAUCCUGAGGAUGUUCUCCUGAUUGUUUCUCUGGCUUUCCCAGUGGGUUCUUUUCUGGAUUCUUCACUAAAUGGUUCAAAUGAAUCUUCAAAGAAUUCCCAACUGAAAUCCUGUUCCAAACCGUCAC
rnacentral:lncRNA from 1 species